rnacentral:rRNA from 1 species
UCUGAAUCUGCGUACGGCUCCGCAAACCAGUUGUAAACUAUAGCAAGCAAUCCUCGGCUGGGCCUCGGGCCGGUCGGGGUAACAUGGAUAACCCUGGUAAUUCUGAGGCUAAUACAAGAACGUAAUCCCUGGCUGACCGGCAACGGAAGGCUGGGGGACGUGCAAUGAUUUUCGUAAGAUUAACCGGGAAAGGGUGCACGUUCGGACCGCGCUAAAAACGAAUCUUGGUGAGCCCUCACGGGUGAGCCUUGGCUCGAGCGGCUCUUGCGAUGUGCUUCUGACCUAUCAACUAGAUGGCAGCGUAAGGGACAUGCUAUGGU